UACGUAGGGUGCAAGCGUUAAUCGGAAUUACUGGGCGUAAAGCGUGCGCAGGCGGUUGUGCAAGACCGAUGUGAAAUCCCCGGGCUCAACCUGGGAAUGGCAUUGGUGACUGCACGGCUAGAGUGUGUCAGAGGGGGGUAGAAUUCCACGUGUAGCAGUGAAAUGCGUAGAGAUGUGGAGGAAUACCGAUGGCGAAGGCAGCCCCCUGGGAUAACACUGACGCUCAUGCACGAAAGCUAGGGGAGCGAAUGGG
rnacentral:rRNA from 1 species